GAUGAACGCUAGCGGCAGGCUUAAUACAUGCAAGUCGAGGGGUAACAUGGGGUAGCAAUACUCUGAUGACGACCGGCAAACGGGUGCGGAACACGUACGCAACUUUCCCAAAACUGGUGAAUAGCCCUCCGAAAGGAGGAUUAAUACACCGUAACAUAACGAGGUGGCAUCAUCUUGUUAUUAUAGCUCCGGCGGUUUUGGAUGGGCGUGCGCCUGAUUAGGUAGUUGGCGGGGUAACGGCCCACCAAGCCUACGAUCAGUAACUGGUGUGAGAGCACGACCAGUCACACGGGCACUGAGACACGGGCCCGACUCCUACGGGAGGCAGCAGUAAGGAAUAUUGGUCAAUGAGCGCAAGCUUGAUCCAGCACAUACUACGUGAGUGAAGAAGGCCUUAGGGUUGUAAAGCUCUUUCAGGAGGGACGAAGGGUGACCGGUGAACAGCCGUGUCACUUGACGGUACCUCCACAAGAAGCACCGGCUAACUACGUGCCAGCAGC
rnacentral:rRNA from 1 species